GCUCACCCAACUCGGAAUUCGAGGUCGGGAACUCGGACCUCUUCCUCGAGUUCCGAUUUUCCGACUUGAAGAUCGCUAACCUCGUGGUUUUUGAAGUUCCCAGUUGUCUUGAAAGCACUUAUAAACCGUGGACAUUAAACAUUUGCACAUGCUGAAAAUUCCUGAGCUCAAAAGUAUUACAAGUAAUUUGCAUUUAUCAGGGAGCUUAGAAAUAUUCUGAGUUUGUAGAUAGAGUCCGAUUUCAUUGACGAAAUGUAUACCUUUUUUUUGUUGCCCUAAACGAUUUAUUUUAUAUCUCGGUGUAUAACGGAAACAAACGUAAUAUUGGUAAAACGAAAGUUAGAUGAUACAAACCUCAAUGAUUUAAUGAUGGUUGCAAUGAUUUUCACCUGUGUACAUUUGAUCUAUUAGAGGACUGCAAUAAUAGUAGUGAAAGAUGAAUGCUAUAAAAGGCCCUACAAUUGGGAAGUGAAGAAUGGUCAGACUUCGUUUGCCCUGCCAGAAAAACAACGAUCUAGAGAGACUUCUGUGACUCUUCUAAGAUACAAAGCGAGGGAUCCAAACUGUGUACAUUUUGAAGCCAUGAGCCGCGGAUUCAGUGAAGUUCAACGUCCCUCCACAGUGUCCUCAGUGACCGAGCCCAUGUGUGUACUCACCACAGAGUGGGCGUGGUUCUGGGAGGACGAGUACGGCAAAUGGAUCCAGUACGCAUCCAUCGUAAGUGGUGUAAAACACUCAAACAGGCUGCUGUGUUAUGAGGACAAUAAUAGAGAUAGUAAAACGUUGUUCCGCUUGAAUUUGAGUUUUUUCCUAUAAAUCACAG